CAAUGAUGAUUUGAUCUGUGUUCAGCUGGAAAUGUGGUUUGCUCUUGGGGAAGAGGAGAGGACGGGCAAUUAGGCCAUGGAGAUCCUGAAGAUCGAUUUGUACCAGUUCAAUUGAGCGCAUUGGAUGAACAUGAGGUUAACUCCAUUACAUGUGGAGCUGACCAUACCCUUGCAUAUUCCGAGCCACGUGUACAAGUCUACAGUUGGGGAUGUUGGGGAAGGAACCAAAAUGGCCAGCUUGGUAUUGGCACUGCUGAGGACUCUCUUGUCCCACAAAGGAUUAAAGCCUUCCAGGGAACACCUGUGAAAAUGGUUGCUGCUGGUGCUGAGCAUAGUGCUGCUGUCACAGAAGCUGGUGAUGUGUAUGGCUGGGGAUGGGGA